CCUACGGGUGGCAGCAGUGGGGAAUAUUGCACAAUGGGGGAAACCCUGAUGCAGCGACGCCGCGGGAGUGAAGAAGGAAUUCGGUAUGUAAAGCUCUAUCAGCAGGGAAGAAAAUGACGGUACAUGAGUAAGAAGCCCCGGUUAACUACGUGCCAGCAGCCGCGGUAAUACGUAGGGGGCAAGCGUUAUCCGGAUUUACUGGGGGUAAAGGGAGCGGAGACGGGAGUGCAAGUCUGGAGUGAAAGGCGGGGGCUCAACCCCCGGACUGCUCUGUAAACUGUACGGCUUGAGUGCAGGCGCUGUAAGUGGACUUCCUUGUGUAGCGGUGUACUGCGUAGAUAUUAGGCGGCACACCA
rnacentral:rRNA from 1 species